rnacentral:rRNA from 1 species
GGGGAAUUUUCCGCAAUGGGCGAAAGCCUGACGGAGCAAGACCGCGUGGGGGAGGAAGGCUCUAGGGUUGUAAACCCCUUUUCUUUGGGAAGAAGUUCUGACGGUACCAAAGGAAUCAGCCUCGGCUAACUCCGUGCCAGCAGCCGCGGUAAUACGGAGGAGGCAAGCGUUAUCCGGAAUUAUUGGGCGUAAAGGGUCCGCAGGUGGCCCAUCAAGUCUGCUGUCAAAGACCGAAGCUUAACUUCGGGCAGGCAGUGGAAACUGGUGAGCUAGAGUACGGUAGGGGUAGAGGGAAUUUCCAGUGUAGCGGUGAAAUGCGUAGAGAUUGGAAAGAACACCAGUGGCGAAGGCGCUCUACUGGACCUGUACUGACACUGAGGGACGAAAGCUAGGGGAGCGAAAGGGAUUAGAUACCCCUGUAGUCA